rnacentral:rRNA from 1 species
AUUGAACGCUGGCGGCAUGCCUAACACAUGCAAGUCGAACGGUACCUUCAAACCGCUUGCUGUUUCGCUGCCUAGUGCCUGACGGGUUGGUAAUGUCUUGGAAACUACCUGCUGGAGGGGGUUCACUUCUGGAAACGUUAGCUAAUACCGCAUAACGUCGCCCUUCCAAUGAGGGCGACCUUCGUUCCUCUUGCCAUCGGAUAUACCCAGAUCGGAUGAGCUAGUAGGUGGGGUAACGGCUCAACUAUGCGACGAUCCCUAGCUGGUCUGAGAGGAUGACCAGACACACUGGAACUGAGAAACGGUCCAGACUCCUACGGGAGGAAGCAGUGGGGAAUAUUGCGGAAAGGGCGAGAGCGGGAUGCAGCAAAGCGGGGGGUAGGAAGAAGGAGUAAGGGUGGGAAAGUAAUGAAGGCGGGGGGGAAGGGAAGAAAGUUAAUACCUGAGCACAUUGACGUUACCGGGAGAAGAAGCACCGGCUAACUCCGUG